GAUGAACGCUGGCGGCGUGCCUAAUACAUGCAAGUCGAGCGAACAGACGAGGAGCUUGCUCCUCUGACGUUAGCGGCGGAAGGGUGAGUAACACGUGGAUAACCUACCUAUAAGACUGGGGUAACUUCGGGAAACCGGAGCUAAUACCGGAUAAUAUAUUGAACCGCAUGGUUCAAUAGUGAAAGACGGUUUUGCUGUCACUUAUAGAUGGAUCCGCGCCGCAUUAGCUAGUUGGUAAGGUAACGGCUUACCAAGGCAACGAUGCGUAGCCGACCUGAGAGGGUGAUCGGCCACACUGGAACUGAGACACGGUCCAGACUCCUACGGGAGGCAGCAGUAGGGAAUCUUCCGCAAUGGGCGAAAGCCUGACGGAGCAACGCCGCGUGAGUGAUGAAGGUCUUCGGAUCGUAAAACUCUGUUAUUAGGGAAGAACAAAUGUGUAAGUAACUAUGCACGUCUUGACGGUACCUAAUCAGAAAGCCACGGCUAACUACGUG
rnacentral:rRNA from 1 species